GGGCGUUUAGCUCAGUUGGUAGAGCAGCUCGCUUACAACGAGCAGGUCGUCGGUUCGAGCCCGGCAGCGCCCACCA
rnacentral:tRNA from 1 species